rnacentral:rRNA from 1 species
UACGAAGGGGGCUAGCGUUGUUCGGAUUCACUGGGCGUAAAGCGCAUGUAGGCGGAUUGUUAAGUCAGGGGUGAAAUCCCGAGGCUCAACCUCGGAACUGCCUUUGAGACUGGCGAACUAGAGUCCAGGAGAGGUGAGUGGAACUGCGAGUGUAGAGGUGAAAUUCGUAGAUAUUCGCAGGAACACCAGUGGCGAAGGCGGCUUGCUGGCCUUGUACUGACGCUGAGGCGCCAAAGCGUGGGGAGCAAACAGG